UCUUAUGAAGUUAGCGGCGGACGGGUGAGUAACACGUGGGUAACCUGCCCAUAAGACUGGGAUAACUCCGGGAAACCGGGGCUAAUACCGGAUAACAUUUUGAACCGCAUGGUUCGAAAUUGAAAGGCGGCUUCGGCUGUCACUUAUGGAUGGACCCGCGUCGCAUUAGCUAGUUGGUGAGGUAACGGCUCACCAAGGCAACGAUGCGUAGCCGACCUGAGAGGGUGAUCGGCCACACUGGGACUGAGACACGGCCCAGACUCCUACGGGAGGCAGCAGUAGGGAAUCUUCCGCAAUGGACGAAAGUCUGACGGAGCAACGCCGCGUGAGUGAUGAAGGCUUUCGGGUCGUAAAACUCUGUUGUUAGGGAAGAACAAGUGCUAGUUGAAUAAGCUGGCACCUUGACGGUACCUAACCAGAAAGCCACGGCUAACUACGUGCCAGCAGCCGCGGUAAUACGUAGGUGGCAAGCGUUAUCCGGAAUUAUUGGGCGUAAAGCGCGCGCAGGUGGUUUCUUAAGUCUGAUGUGAAAGCCCACGGCUCAACCGUGGAGGGUCAUUGGAAACUGGGAGACUUGAGUGCAGAAGAGGAAAGUGGAAUUCCAUGUGUAGCGGUGAAAUGCGUAGAGAUAUGGAGGAACACCAGUGGCGAAGGCGACUUUCUGGUCUGUAACUGACACUGAGCGCGAAAGCGUGGGGGAGCAAACAGGGAUUAGAUACCCUGGGUAGUCCACGCC
rnacentral:rRNA from 1 species